rnacentral:rRNA from 1 species
AUUGAACGCUGGCGGCAUGCCAUACACAUGCAAGUCGAACGGUAACGCGGGGCAACCUGGCGACGAGUGGCGAACGGGUGAGUAAUGUAUCGGAACGUGCCCAGUAGUGGGGGAUAGCCCGGCGAAAGCCGGAUUAAUACCGCAUACGACCUGAGGGUGAAAGCGGGGGAUCGCAAGACCUCGCGCUAUUGGAGCGGCCGAUAUCAGAUUAGCUAGUUGGUGGGGUAAAGGCCUACCAAGGCGACGAUCUGUAGCUGGUCUGAGAGGACGACCAGCCACACUGGGACUGAGACACGGCCCAGACUCCUACGGGAGGCAGCAGUGGGGAAUUUUGGACAAUGGGCGAAAGCCUGAUCCAGCCAUGCCGCGUGCGGGAAGAAGGCCUUCGGGUUGUAAACCGCUUUUGUCAGGGAAGAAAAGGCUCGAACUAAUACUUUGGGCUCAUGACGGUACCUGAAGAAUAAGCACCGGCUAACUACGUGCCAGCCGCCGCAGUAACAC